UAAGGAAUAUUGGUCAAUGGGCGGAAGCCUGAACCAGCCAUGCCGCGUGCAGGAAGACGGCCCUACGGGUUGUAAACUGCUUUUAUACGGGAAUAAACCUUCGUUCGUGAACGAAGCUGAAUGUACUGUAAGAAUAAGGAUCGGCUAACUCCGUGCCAGCAGCCGCGGUAAUACGGAGGAUCCAAGCGUUAUCCGGAUUUAUUGGGUUUAAAGGGUGCGUAGGUGGCCUGGUAAGUCAGGGGUGAAAGACGGUAGCUUAACUAUCGCAGUGCCUUUGAUACUGCCGGGCUUGAAUGAACUAGAGGUAGGCGGAAUGUGACAAGUAGCGGUGAAAUGCAUAGAUAUGUCACAGAACACCGAUUGCGAAGGCAGCUUACUAUGGUUUUAUUGACACUGAGGCACGAAAGCGUGGGGAUCAAACA
rnacentral:rRNA from 1 species